AUAAGAAACUACAGACAGAGAGACAGGGAAGCUGAAGGGCGAGGCCACCGUGUCCUUUGACGACCCUCUUCUGCCAAAGCUGCCAUCGACUGGUUUGAUGGGAAGGACUCAUCGAGGUGUCCUUUGUGACCUGCAUCACGGACUUCAGAGUAGGCCGGGGUGGCGGUGGUAGCGCAUGAGAGACAGACAAGGAGGACCGAUGGGUCGGGGCGGGUUCGGUGGUGGUGGAGGUGGUCUCUCUGGCGACAAUGUUGGCCGUGGCAAUGGAGGACAGCAGAGAGCUGGAGACUGGAAGUGUUCCAACCCGUAAAUAAGG